rnacentral:lncRNA from 1 species
CUCCAAUAAUAAUUUAAGUAGGAACUAGGUAGGAAUUUUUUCUUGAAUUACUUAUUGCAAAUCACGUUUAUUACUGAUAAAACAUAAAUCAUAAAUGAUAAAUCAAAAUAUGAAUUAAGAGGUCGAUGUCGACGGCGACUUGCAGGAAGCAGUAGCAACAGCAAGUUGCAGGGGUUGAAUUCGAAAUCCCAAGGCAGCAAGACGGAGGAAGGAUUUGCGUGCAAAUGGAAAAUGUAAUUGUCGAAUUGGCUAACAUGAAUAGUGGGUAAUGGAUUUGGAAAAUGCUUUUCUAUUGGAAUUUUGUUAUUUGUACACCGAUGUGAGAGGCCCACGUCCAAUAAAAAAGCGUGGACCUCUUCUUGUUAGGGGCACGUACAUUGGCAUGUGUACAUGUAGCAAAAUUCUUUCUAUAGAACCAAUGGUCCAACUCUAUGCUACAUGAAAAUAAAUUUAGGCUUAAUUUUUAAAUGAGAAUAAUACAUAAUUACUAGACCAUAAGAAUCACAUUUCACAAUAUAUAUAUACACACACACACACAUACACAUACACAUACACACACACACACAUAGCAGAGUUACUGGAGUUGCUCUUCUUACACCGCCUUUCUGUCAUCAACGACUUUGGCCUCCAUGUGCAGUAGAUUUCUGCCCAAAAUAUCCACCUCACCAUCGGCACAGUACCACACACCGCCGAACACACAACAAUAAUGCACCACACACAGAUUGCACCACCUAUUUCACUUUCAAAUAUCACCGAAUCUUGCGUGGUUCACUGGGAAAAUACCAAAAAGAAGACAACAUAAUGGAGGGAAAAUUGAAAUGGAAUCCAGGCUUGUGGGGUGGGGUGGGGUGGAUUGGAGAUAGGUGAUUUUUGGGGAAAGCAUGAAAAGAGGAUAGCUUAAGCUUAAUGGAGGGAGAACUGAAAUCUGGGCUUCUGGGAUGGGUUGGAGUGGGCGAGGUUUUUUUCAGAAGAAACCUUUGUAGAAGAGAAAUUGACUGAACUAAUUGAUG